ACCCUGCACAUUGAUUUAUUAUCUUUGGGUGUAGAUUCAUUGUCUUAAGUACGUAAACAUGAGACCCAUAUGAACUUUGAGCAAGAACCCACUGGAGAAGAUGAUAAUGUUACUCCUCUGUUACAGCCUGGAGCAUCACAUUUCCACCCCCAUGUCAGUGGCAAGAGUGAAGCCCUUUAAACACCAGGCGGAGAGGAGCUGUUUUGGCUGGAUGCUCUGUGGUUCUGUCUAUGCUAGCGAGCAACGCAGACCAAUUGAGGCGGAUGUGUAGAGUGAAGCUGUCAGUGCUGACAUCCACACAUCAGGCAUUUCAGAGGGCUUGCUCAUGUGGUCCCACACACUGGAUACCUUUCAGCUUUUGGAGCACCUUAGAAGUGCAUCUUCUGGCUUCGUUCAUGCAGAAGAGAUCUGUUCAUGCACUUUGAGACCACUCUACAAUUUAAAACAAAGUACAAGACGUGUUUUACUACUCUUGAGCAGUCAUGCUGAUGAAAUGGAGAACAUGUCAUUUAACAAAUGGCAGUGGUGGACUCCGUGUUUAUCUGGACUUGCUAUGGGUAUAUAAAGCCACUUAGCCCCAAGCACGAGUGUCACACAGGAGGGAACAUCUCUGACAGGCCAGUGCUAAUGCAGGAGGGAACCUCUUGCAAAAAGACCAGGGCCCCUCUGAACUUCAAUGAAUUCUUUAUGGGAGGAAGAAAGGAAAGGACCAUGGCUUAAUUGCUGCCUGCAUCUCUCUGCCCAAAUCUAGCUUUGCUUAUACCUCCCCUUUUCGCACUGACCAAUCUGUGAAUAUUUAAUAGUGGAAUGUGUUAAUUGACAGUAACUGUGCCAUGGUAAGGUACUUUAUGCUGUACUUCAAUAAAAUUGAUGUGCUCAGUGGUGUCUCUGUGGCCUCUGCUACAUCUGGUCUUCUGCUGCUCUGCUGGAGAUGUGGAGCUGGGUCAAAUCUGAACACCUGCUUUUAAAAAUUAAUGUGCCUGUACAUCAUCCUGUGUUUCUAGAUCAGUAGGUACUGCUAAAGACUGAAAUAAUGCAAAAAUACUAUUCAAAAAUAUUUUUUCCAUUAAUACACCGACUACCAUUUUUCAAUGACUACUUUGAUUCAUUUCUCUCUUUUUCCUUCCACCUUUUCUUUGUUUUUUCUUACCAAUAUACAAAAAAUUGUUAAGAUCAUUACACCUCUAAUAAAUGUAAAGUGAGUUUAAUUUCUUGGCCAUGCACAGUUACGCAUUUUUGUGGCAUCAGAAUCAGCACACUACAGUUAACAUUGUCAUAAGCUAGAACGUGUUAAUACAGUUUUCAUUGCAGUGACUUACCUACAUUGAAUUGACACAAAAAAGGUGAGAGAACACAAUUUCCCGCUGCCACUUCAUGGAUGCUGAGGCUUAGAGAAUUUAAAAGCUGAGAUUCUUGAAAGCUGUCUAGAAUAUAUGGAUUGCCAAAUCCCAUUAGAUCUGGUUUUAAAGAACGAAGUUUCAAAAGCACUUGGGUGCCUUGAAAGGUUAGGGGCCAGAUUUUCAAAGAUAUUUGUUGUUACUUUGGUGAGUGAAAUCAGCUGGAUUUAGGUACUUAACACGUGUCUGGUUUCUGACAAUAAAGCUUUCAUUAAAACAUUUUAAAAAGCAUUUCCCUGUCAGUGCUUUCAGAAAUUAGCAAAUUUUCCAGACUGUACCCUCAUUUUCUGGGCGUUGUUGAUUAAACACUCACAACAUCAAAAUGCAACUCUGUACGGAGCCAUGCUGGAAAUAAAAUUCACAAAUAAAAUAGCAGUGAAACCGAAAUGAUUAUUUCAUUGGUGAGAAUAUUUUAAAAUGUACUUCAGUAUACAAAACAUCAUGAAUUUCAAAAUCCAAAAGGAGCUUGUUUUUACAGAAGCAUACAACAUCACUGAAAGUCAAGAUGGAAUUUUUCUCUACCAGCUCACUGCUUUCACUUUUGAAGGCUCAAGAAUUUAAGAGUAGACCAUGAGAUGACAACGUUCCUAAAUGUUACCAAUAUCUACUGUUCAUGCAUCCUCUAUGUGACAUUCACUCAUCCAUGCUGCCUGUACAUACAGAAAUAGCAAGGUAAGUAUAGUGGUUUUGAUCCAUAAAUACCUGUAGUCAAAUUAAACAUGGGACAUUAUCUUUACUCAUAAGAUGCUCAAACCUAAGUUAGCAAGCACUCCUCAUUUUUUACAAGCUGUCCAGAGUCUUUUCUUACAUCUGUUUUGCACCAGUUCGAUGAAUGUCUGCUACUGAUUCUUGAUCUGAGAUGUGUUCAGAAGCCGAUCCUGAAAAAUUCUGAUAUUCAGAAUCCUUCCUACUUUGGCUUGGUAUAUGGAUGGACACACCAGGUCAGAAAGAGAUUUGCAGUCAUAUUUUCAUACUGAUUAGUAUGUACGCUCCUCUGCCCUCCCCUAGAGGUGAACCUGCAGUGGCAUUAGCAGUCAUUGUCCAUCUUUGCAGAAAUUCAGAGUAAUGUUAACUGAUUCCGUAACAUCCCCUUAACUUUGCUAUAUUGGUGUUGUGAAGCUUUAAAGUUUUGAGUGCAGAAGAGACCUCCCAGGUUUUUAGCAGCUCUUAUUUUGUCAUUUGCAACAAAGACCUUUCUGGCAAGAGGAUCAGUGAACUCAAGAGGUGACUUGGUUUCCGUUUUUGUGACAAACACAGCAAAAACAGCUUUAACAUCCUGUUUAAAGCAGUCCUGAGGUGAGAGAGCCUUGAGAGAUGUUGAGCAGAAGCUGCUUUGUGGAGGAUCCUUUGCUAUCACGUGGCUUCACUGCAGGGUACAGGCUUUCAGCUGAUUUUGUCAUGGCCUCCAUUUCCUUGCUAAACAACAGGCCAGUGACCCGAAACACAGUCUAGGUGAUUCUCUGAAGGCAACCUGCCAAAGCGUUUUGCAAAAAAGGAACCUGACACAUAGCUAUCGUUUAAGGCCAAUUUAUCUCAAGAAUCAAUUCUUUAAAUUUAAUUCACCAGCUCACAUAUCCUUUUCAGUGAUGGUAGUUAACUCGUGUGUGUCCUGAUUUUGUGGGCUUUUCAGAGAACCUUGAUUUUCAGCACAUGCUGACACAUCCAUCGGUAAAAGGAAACUAACGGCCUUUACUUUACCCCUGGAGGAAAAUGAGAGAGGAUUAUGAGGAUUCGAAAUAUAUAAAACAAGCAAAGAAACUCAAAAAAAGAAUCAAAAACAACAACAAAAAACAGCUAACAAAAAAAAAAAACAAACAACAACACACCAGCA
rnacentral:lncRNA from 1 species